rnacentral:rRNA from 1 species
AUGUACAUUCCUACACCAUAGUGUUAAUGCAUCGAAUCCAAUUAGAACUCCUCAAUUAAGCACACUCAGACUAGAGUAGUACUGGGAUGGGUGACUUCAUGGGAGUUCCUAGUGUUUUACAUG